rnacentral:rRNA from 1 species
AUGGGGUAUAACCCAUCUUCGGCCUUGCUAUAUUUAAGCCACCGGCUCUUGAGAUAUAUAUAUUUUUUGACAAUGUAUAUAUUAUAUAAAGUAAUAAAGCAGGACCUCUGUCCUUUUUUCACCCUCAAAAGUUCAUAUCUUUUUGUUAGAUGGUGGAAACAACCAACAGGGAGCGGAGCAUAUCUGAAUCCGGCUUUCCCUUUGGACCGGCUUAUGAUCAUAUCUGAAUCUAGUCAUGAUCACUUGGGGGCUUCCUGUUCAAACAUAGGUCAUAUCCGAACCAAAGAGAACAUAGCUGUCGAAACCAGCUUGAUCGGCAUACUGCCAAACCCACUUGGGGGCUUCUUGAUCAUAUUUGAAUCAUAG